AUGUCAGUUGUCAGGGAGGGGACGGUGGCCGCCGGCCGGCGUAUGUGUAUGUAUGCACUUGGUAUAUAUGGUAGAAAGAUACUGUAUGAGAGACGGACGGACCGUGAAGAAGUCGGUGGAGUGCACGGCCCAGAAGAAGAUGACGGUGGCGAUGGCCUGGUAGGUGCCGAGGACGACGCCGGUGGCGAAGAUCUCCUUGAGGCGCCACGAGUCGGGGGUGGGCGACGGCACCACCCUGUCCUUGGAGAUGGUCAUGAUGGUGCCGUCGUUGAGGAUGGCGAUGAUGAGCACCAUGAAGGGCGCGAAGUCGAACUUCCAGAUGAGCGCCAGGAGGAGGAAGCCGAGGACGACCCGGAUGGUUAUGGACACGGCGUAGAUGGUGUAGUUCUUCAUCCGCUGGAAGAUGGCGCGGCUCGUCAGCACGGCGCUGAUGAUCACGCUCAGCCCGGGCUCCGUCAGCACGAUGUCCGACGCGCUCCGUGCCGCGUCCGUGGCGUCGGCCACGGCGAUGCCGAUGUCCGCCUUCUUCAGCGCCGGCGCGUCGUUCACGCCGUCGCCCGUCAUGCCGCAGAUGUGCUUCAUCUCCUGCAGCCGCCGCACGAUCUCGUACUUGUGCUCCGGGAACACGCCGGCGAAGCCGUCCGCCUUCUCGAUCAGUUCGUCCACGGGGAGCCCGCAGCUGUCGCCGUCCUUGAGGAGGGAGCUUGA
rnacentral:rRNA from 1 species